GAUGAACGCUAGCGGCAGGCUUAACACAUGCAAGUCGAGGGGCAGCACAGGUGGCAACACCGGGUGGCGACCGGCGUAAGGGUGCGUAACACGUGAGCAACAUACCCGUAUCUGGAGGAUAACCGGAGGAAACUCUGCCUAAUACUCCAUAAUAUCAUCGUACGGCAUCGUUUGGUGAUUAAAGAUUUAUCGGACACGGAUUGGCUCGCGGGACAUUAGCUUGUUGGUGGGGUAACGGCUCACCAAGACCACGAUCAGUAGGGGAUCUGAGAGGAUUAACCCCCACACGGAUACUGAGACACGGAUCCGACUCCUACGGGAGGCAGCAGUAAGGAAUAUUGGACAAUGCCCGCAAGGGUGAUCCAGCCAUGCCGCGUGCAGGAAGAAGGCCCUAUGGGUCGUAAACUGCUUUUACACCGGAGAAAACCCCUUACGUGUAAGGGCUGAUAGUAUGGUGAGAAUAAGCAUCGGCUAACUUCGUGCCAGCAGCCGCGGUAAG
rnacentral:rRNA from 1 species